UGGUGUGACGGUGAUCUUGCUGUCACAGCUAUCACCCUUUGAUGGACAGGUGGCUAGGUGUGUGGCCUCCCUCCUUCAUCAUUUUAGGUACAGGUUUAUCCCUCUGAAGAUGCAAAACGGUUUGAAGAGGACAAUCUUUCCCAAGCAAGGAAGACUGUUCUUCAACCAAGAGCAUAGGUAAGCUUAUAGACUCUUUGGUAAAGUGGACACAUCCUGCUAGGGGUGAGAAAAAUGGUUCCUAUCAUCUUUUCCA
rnacentral:sRNA from 1 species